rnacentral:rRNA from 2 species
CUUGACGACCAUAGAACAUUGGAACCACCUGAUCCCAUCCCGAACUCAGCAGUGAAACGAUGUAUCGCCGAUGGUAGUGUGGGGUUUCC